CCAAUAGCGUAUAUUAAAGUUGUUGUGGUUAAAAAGCUCGUAGUUGAACCUUGGGCCUGGCUGGCCGGUCCGCCUCACCGCGUGUACUGGUCCGGCCGGGCCUUUCCCUCUGUGGAACCCCAUGCCCUUCACUGGGUGUGGCGGGGAAACAGGACUUUUACUUUGAAAAAAUUAGAGUGCUCCAGGCAGGCCUAUGCUCGAAUACAUUAGCAUGGAAUAAUAGAAUAGGACGUGUGGUUCUAUUUUGUUGGUUUCUAGGACCGCCGUAAUGAUUAAUAGGGACAGUGGGGGGCAUCAGUAUUCAAUUGUCAGAGGUGAAAUUCUUGGAUUUAUUGAAGACUAACUACUGCGAAAGCAUUUGCCAAGGAUGUUUUCAUUAAUCAGGAACGAAAGUUAGGGGAUCGAAGACGAUCAGAUACCGUCGUAGUCUUAACCAUAAACUAUGCCGACUAGGGAUCGGACGAUGUUACUUAUUGACUCGUUCGGCACCUUACG
rnacentral:misc_RNA from 1 species